ACUUCCUGAACAGAGUGGGAACAUCCGGCCUCCUUUUCUCACUGGACCUUUGGAUUACAAGCCUGGUCAUGCUUCAGUUGAUCCACAGCAUUCCUUACUUCUGAGCUGCCGCCAGUUGUCUUCAACUUUUUCAAACCAGAUGCGACGCAGCACGAACAUCUUGAUGGGGACGGUGAGGAUGAGGACGAAGGGGAAAGCCAGAGACGCCUGGGUGGACAUAACAGACCAGAGGACGACCAAACACACCAUCUGGAUGCAGGUGUGGUCGGGGUGGUACUUGGGUGGCAUGAGGAGCAGCAUCAUCCGCUCGGACAGCUGGAUG